UACGGGGGGGGCAAGCGGUUGUUCGGAAUUACUGGGCGUAAAGGGCUCGUAGGUGGCCAACUAAGUCAGACGUGAAAUCCCUCGGCUUAACCGGGGAACUGCGUCUGAUACUGGAUGGCUUGAGUUCGGGAGAGGGAUGCGGAAUUCCAGGUGUAGCGGUGAAAUGCGUAGAUAUCUGGAGGAACACCGGUGGCGAAGGCGGCAUCCUGGGCCGAUACUGACACUGAGGAGCGAAAGCCAGGGGAGACAAAGCGGG
rnacentral:rRNA from 1 species